AUUGAACGCUGGCGGCAUGCCUUACACAUGCAAGUCGAACGGCAGCACGGGAGCAAUCCUGGUGGCGAGUGGCGAACGGGUGAGUAAUAUAUCGGAACGUGCCCAGUCGUGGGGGAUAACGCAGCGAAAGCUGUGCUAAUACCGCAUACGAUCUACGGAUGAAAGCGGGGGAUCGCAAGACCUCGCGCGAUUGGAGCGGCCGAUAUCAGAUUAGGUAGUUGGUGAGGUAAAGGCUCACCAAGCCGACGAUCUGUAGCUGGUCUGAGAGGACGACCAGCCAGACUGGAACUGAGACACGGUCCAGACUCCUACGGGAGGCAGCAGUGGGGAAUUUUGGACAAUGGGCGCAAGCCUGAUCCAGCAAUGCCGCGUGCAGGAUGAAGGCCUUCGGGUUGUAAACUGCUUUUGUACGGAACGAAAAGGCUCUGGUUAAUACCUGGGGCACAUGACGGUACCGUAAGAAUAAGCACCGGCUAACUACGUGCCAGCCGCCGCAGUAACAC
rnacentral:rRNA from 1 species